ensembl:rRNA 5S_rRNA 5S ribosomal RNA
GUCUACGGCCAUAGCACCCUGAACGCGCCCAAUCUCGUCUGAUCUCGGAAGCUAAGCAGGGUCGGGUCGGGCCUGGUUAGUACUUGGAUGGGAGACUGAUACGGGACCAGUCAGUGAGUGAGCA